rnacentral:rRNA from 1 species
GAUGAACGCUGGCGGCGUGCCUAAUACAUGCAAGUCGAACGAAACUUCUUUAUCACCGAGUGCUUGCACUCACCGAUAAAGAGUUGAGUGGCGAACGGGUGAGUAACACGUGGGCAACCUGCCCAAAAGAGGGGGAUAACACUUGGAAACAGGUGCUAAUACCGCAUAACCAUAGUUACCGCAUGGUAACUAUGUAAAAGGUGGCUAUACUACCGCUUUUGGAUGGGCCCGCGGCGCAUUAGCUAGUUGGUAGGGUAAAGGCUUACCAAGGCAAUGAUGCGUAGCCGAAUUGAGAGGUUGAUCGGCCACAUGGGGACUGAGACACGGCCCAAACUCCUACGGGAGGCAGCAGUAGGGAAUCUUCCACAAUGGGCGAAAGCCUGAUGGAGCAACGCCGCGUGGGUGAAGAAGGUCUUCGGAUCGUAAAACCCUGUUGUUAGAGAAGAAAGUGCGUGAGAGUAACUGUUCACGUUUCGACGGUAUCUAACCAGAAAGCCACUGCUAACUACGUG